CAAGUGUUAGAAGAAGUCACAGAACUUUCCAGGAGGACAGGACAGGGAAACAGGGAGGAAUUGAGAGUGAGCUGUAUGCGUAUGUACUCAAUUCCAAGCCACACCUCUUAAUCUUUCUAAAAGUGUCGGCUUGUCUUAUUGGUGUGUUUAAUGGGUGGUGGCUCCCCUCCAUCCCAUUACCUUGGGGUGAGUAUUACAGUUGUUUACAACCAAAGAUAUGUGAUAGAUUGUUUUGUCCAGAACAUAGCACAUUGAAGGGCAGUUAAAAGCAGCCUGGUAUUAUGCAAGUCAAAUUACAGAGAUCACUGCAAGCCUCACGAAGGGCUAGGACUUUGCUUCUGAUGGAUUUUCAGGAGGGAGUAAGCAAGCAGAGAGUACAGAGAAUGCCCAGAAAGGAAAAGACUCAAGAAAGAAGCUCCCUUAGGAGAGUUUGCAACUGUCCAGCAAUGACAGCUGAGAGUCUGUCGUAGAGCUGGGAUGCAGGAGAAGGCUUGCAGAGAAACAGGGUAGGACCACUCGUAGGACCUGUAUGUGGGCUACCACACAGCAUGGCCCCUAACACAGCGGUGUAGGUCUGACGCUGGGAGCCAGGCUGGGUGCCGCGAAGCAGAGCUUGCUGAACUUACCAUGAGGCCACUGGGCCUGGCCCAAACAUCACUUGGGGAGAUCCCGUUGCAUUGCUGUCAGCCUGAAAAUCACUGGUGAAGAAUGAAGAAUCUUUACAACAUGCAGAGCUUCUGUGAAGGGAGGCAUGUGGAACAGGGUCACUGAGCCCACUGGGAGGCAGGCUUGGUGUUGGGCAGGAAGAAGCUUCUCGUCAGCCCUGGGGGGUCUUAGGUCCUAACAACGACAGGGGCUCAAGACAGAAGACACUUUGCACUUUUGUUGUGUUUUAACAUUUUCACCUGUAUCAGGACAUUGGAGCUUCACACAGCAAUCUUGUGCCCAAUGUCCUCAUUUAACAGGUGGAGAAACAGAAAUACAGUAAGAUGUGGUUUUGCUCAGGGUCACACAGUAAGGUGGCAGAGCCAGGAUUUGUUGUUUUCCGAUGCUUGUCUUGAAAGCUUUCAUACAGAAAAGUGAAAGAAUGAUAUAGUUACCAACCAUAUAUCUAACACACUAGGUUGAACAAUUAUGACUAUUUUACUAUAUUAUGCGUUCCUCUUCUGUAUAUGUUGUGCUGAACCACGUUCAUGUUGCAGACCUCAUGACACUUCCUUCCUCCAUAAAUUACACAUUCAUAUUGAAGAGAUUUGACGAUAGUUCUCCGAUAUCCAUGGACACCCAAUUCCCAUUCAAUUCCCCGACUGUCUCAGAUUCCCUUAUGGAUGGUUUUAAGUACCCACUCCUACUUCACUCUUUGAAACUGUGUUUUUCCAACGAGUCUGGAGUUAAAGAGACCACACCAGAUGCCUUCCCUUCAUGGUGUUCUCCAUGUUAUACUAGAGGCUGGUAAGCUAAAGCCGGCAGGCUCAUUGGUUUGUGGAUUGUCUAUGGCUACUUUCAGGCCACCUCGGCAGAUCUGAGUAGUUCCCAUAGAGACCCUGUGGCCUGCAAAGCUGAAACUAUGUACUCACUGGCUGUUUCUAUAAUGUUCUCUAAACCCUUGUGUUAUACUGUCCUUCCUUGACCUAACUUUGAGGUCUAUCAGAUUUCUGAGUUGGUUAGCAUGUAAAUAAUCUGCAAAAUGGAAAUUUAUAAAGAAC